AUCUUUGCUGUCUGCACCAUCCUUGUGGGAGCUCUCAUAGGGCUGCUGCUGGUGUGCGUGAUCGACUUCCUGUUCCCCCCGAAGCCUGUGACUGCCACGUCCGCCAUGGCCCAACACAUCGACGACACGGAGGAGGACCUCAUUGAGGACCGCAAGGAAGACCACACUGAGGACAAGGAGACUCCUACUGACGAGGAACAAGACGCCAGUGCCCAAGCGUCCAGUCAAGAAGAAGAUGCAGGCAGUCAGCCCGAGGACGGCGCGGCAUCCGCCGACGAUGGCGGCGAAGUUCGCAAGCGAAGACACCGAAGAGCUGACUAGUGGCUAGGGACGGCGUUGAGGGUAGACCAGUAAAGACUUGGAGGGCUGGUCUAAGGACUAGUGACGAGGUGGAGGGAUGGCUAGUGACUAGUGACGACCUUCAGAGCUAUGCUAGUGACUAGUAAAGCGUUUGUGAUUUUUGUGUGAGGAGUAGCUAGUGGCGAGAGGUGCGGAGCAAGUAACUAGGCUGUGUGGAUAGCCGCUAGGGAAGUGGCUGUGCUGUUGUCUUACGAUGCUUUAUUUUGUACUUUAGUACUUAAUGUACUAUUUUCUUAUGAAUGACAGCGAGAAGAGCAUUUUAUACCGAACUUGAAUGAGGGAAGCGAUGUUACAGAACAAAUAGAGACGUGGCCGCUAUCACGUCAUUCAUCAUGGCUGAGUUGAUGCAAUUCAAGUAGGAUACUG